GACCAGGUCAACGUGUCCCAGUCUUCGGCUCCCUCCCUUGUGGCCUCUCAGCUCCGGGCCACAGCUGUCGUGUCAUCGUCAUGAGGCUCGCUUACCUUCUCCUACUGCUUGUGGCCGUGUUGUUCCAAGCUGGGGGCGGAUCAGCCAAACCCAUAAUGUUCUUCGAAAUGCAAGCCUGCUGGUCCCACAGCGGCGUCUGCAGAGACAAGAGUGAAAGGAAUUGCAAGCCGAUGGCGUGGACCUACUGUGAAAACCGGAACCAGAAAUGCUGCGAGUACUAGCCAUGUCGACCGCAGUUGCCAGGGGUCGCACGGGGAGUGCGGUGGGGCCACCCCCUCCCUAUACCCUGCUAAAUAAAGGCAAUCAAACGCA